GCGCCAUUAGCUCAGCUGGAUAGAGCGUUGCCCUCCGGAGGCAAAGGUCGCAGGUUCGACUCCUGCAUGGCGCGCCA
rnacentral:tRNA from 3 species